rnacentral:snRNA from 1 species
UUGGUUCGGUAUUCUCUCUUUGCCUUUUGGCUUAGAUCAAGUGUAGUAUCUGUUCUUUUCAGUUUAAUCGCUGAAAUCACCUCACUGAGGUGUUUCCGAUUAAUCUUGUUUUUGGUUUGAGUUGGAAAGCCUCUGGCUUGCUAUGCUUUCCGACACUGGUGUUCUUGCUAUUGCACUACUGGCAAGCGACGCCGAAU